UAACGCGUGGGUAACCUGCCUUACACUGGGGGAUAACACUUAGAAAUAGGUGCUAAUACCGCAUAAGCGCACGAAGCCGCAUGGAUUUGUGUGAAAAACUCCGGUGGUGUAAGAUGGACCCGCGUCUGAUUAGCUUGUUGGCGGGGUAACGGCCCACCAAGGCGACGAUCAGUAGCCGGCCUGAGAGGGUGGACGGCCACAUUGGGACUGAGACACGGCCCAAACUCCUACGGGAGGCAGCAGUGGGGGAUAUUGGACAAUGGGGGAAACCCUGAUGCAGCGACGCCGCGUGAGCGAAGAAGUAUUUCGGUAUGUAAAGCUCUAUCAGCAGGGAAGAAAAAUGACGGUACCUGAGUAAGAAGCACCGGCUAAAUACGUGCCAGCAGCCGCGGUAAUACGUAUGGUGCAAGCGUUAUCCGGAUUUACUGGGUGUAAAGGGAGCGCAGGCGGUGCGGCAAGUCUGAUGUGAAAGCCCGGGGCUCAACCCCGGGACUGCAUUGGAAACUACCGAACUAGAGUGUCGGAGAGGUAAGUGGAAUUCCUAGUGUAGCGGUGAAAUGCGUAGAUAUUAGGAGGAACACCAGUGGCGAAGGCGGCUUACUGGACGAUAACUGACGUUGAGGCUCGAAAGCGUGGGGAGCAAACAGGAUUAGAUACCCUGGUAGU
rnacentral:rRNA from 1 species